UCUAUAAUGGCAGAAUAAUGUGUUGGAUUUAAGCCCCAUUUAUAAAGAUUUUUUAUCUUUUUAUAGAA
rnacentral:tRNA from 1 species